CAGAGUCCCUGUGCAGAGCCCUGGAUGGAGAGCUGGACCUCAGUGAGACCAGGCUGGACCAGAAGGCCUGUGGAUCUCUGGCCCUGGUUCUGGAACACUCAGAGGGGCUGUCAGAACUGGACCUCAGCCACUGUCAACUCACAGACCACCACCUACAGGCCCUGAUCACCCACCUGCACAAAGUACAAGUCCUGGACCUGAGUCACAAUGACAUCACUGAUGCUCUGACUGACAGAAUACUCCAACUGGUCUCCACCAACACUUCAAUACACACCAUACGACUCUUCAACAACAGAAUCCAGGACAGAAGACCCUUCCUGACAGACAAGAGGUUUGAGAUCUGGUGAAGAUAAUGUUGUAUAAUGACAGUGUAAUGUGGUCAAUGUAGAAGGCUGGUUUGAGAUCUGGUGAAGAUAAUGUUGGAUAAUGACAGUAUAAUGUGGUCAAUGUAUAGAAGGCUGCUUCAAAAUCCCACUGAUUGAUCUGAGUCCAGAAAAAUAGUCUUAGGGACAGGAAUGUCACGAGUGUCAGUGUAAUGCAGUGGAUAGAAGUAGGCAGGACACAGAACUCUAAGAAACGUACUUUACUGAAAACAACACAGAAAACAACAAACAAUAACACACCAAAUACACUAUAACACUGCGGACCUGAAUGUGUGUAAAUAUAGGGAAUACAAUCCAACAUAAUGGGGAACAGGUG